UAAUACGAGGGGAGCAAGCGUUGUCCGGAUUUAUUGGGCGUAAAGAGCUCGUAGGUGGGUUUACAAGUGAAAAUUGAAAUACAAUGGCUUAACCAUUGACACGGUUUUCAUACUGUAAAUCUUGAGUUAUGUAGAGGUAAGUGGAAUUUCUGGUGUAGCGGUGAAAUGCGUAGAUAUCAGAAGGAACACCAAAGGCGAAGGCAACUUACUGGACAUAAACUGACACUGAGGAGCGAAAGCGUGGGUAGCAAACAGGAUUAGAGACCCUGGUAGUCCACGCCGUAAACUAUGAGUACUUGGUGAUGGGAGAUUCGACCCUUUCAUUGCCGGAGUUAACGCAUUAAGUACUCCGCCUGGGGACUACGACCGCAAGGUUG
rnacentral:rRNA from 1 species